rnacentral:tRNA from 1 species
CGGGGCAUAGGAUAAUUGGCUAUUCCGCUUGCUUUGGGAGCAAGAGAUUCCCGGUUCAAAUCCGGGUGCCCCGA